UGGGGAAUAUUGCACAAUGGGGGAAACCCUGAUGCAGCGACGCCGCGUGAAGGAAGAAGUAUCUCGGUAUGUAAACUUCUAUCAGCAGGGAAGAAAAUGACGGUACCUGACUAAGAAGCCCCGGCUAACUACGUGCCAGCAGCCGCGGUAAUACGUAGGGGGCAAGCGUUAUCCGGAUUUACUUGGUGUAAAGGGAGCGUAGGCGGUACGGCAAGUCAGAAGUGAAAUGCCGGGGCUCAACCCCGGAACUGCUUUUGAAACUGUUUAGCUUGAGUGAAGUAGAGGUAGGCGGAAUUCCCGGUGUAGCGGUGAAAUGCGUAGAGAUCGGGAGGAACACCAGUGGCGAAGGCGGCUUACUGGACGAUGACUGACGUUGAGGCUCGAAAGCGUGGGGAGCAAACAGGAUUAGAUACC
rnacentral:rRNA from 1 species